rnacentral:lncRNA from 1 species
GAAACUAUCGAUAUUUAAGACCUUGGAUGUAUCCAAUAGAAAAUCCGUCAAUUCAGUGAAUCAUCAAUUCCAGGUAUCACACUCGUGGCCACAAUGUUUGAUACAUCUUCACAGAACUCAGGGGACACAAAGUCUGCCUGAGACGCAAUCCUCGCAGCACAUGGUUCAAGUGUCUCCGAGACUCAUGAGGCAUGGUCAUACGCGCGUAGACUUAUCCAAAAG